ACAGGAGAAGAGUGUGAGGGCUCCUAACAUUAACAUUUGAGGGAAUGCAAAUGCUAAAUGCAUUAUGCAUUGUAUACAUAUAUGAAAUUAUAAUAGUGUACUCACAAAAUAUGUAAAAUAUUAUAGGUCAGUUAGGAAAAUCUUGAUAAUAUGGAAAAUUUGAAAGACAGACCCCCCCCUCCACCACCACCUCAGGACAACACUCCUAUACCCAGCAACCUGCUUCUUGGAGAAGAGGCUAUGAAUAGGAAAGUGGAAAUAUCAGUAAUUGAAUCCCCCACAAAACCCCAGAGGUAGCCUUCUGAAUAAGCAGAAAAAAUAAAAUAAGAAGCUGCUUAGAGAGUGUCAGUGCUACAAAACUCCAGAAACAGAAAGCUUACUUCCGGCUGUUGCGGGAGAGGGAAGGCUUCCCAGAGAAGGAACAGCAUGAUGCCAACUCUUCUGCUGCUUUCCACAACAAUAGGAACUAUUUCUGAGAAAGCAAGGCUCCCUCUGCUUGCAACAGAUUUUCCUGAGUCUCUCUGACCUGACUAGAAACACCAGCAAGAAAGGGGUGCAUGUGACAGUAGGAACGUGAGGAGGUGACAACUGUAAAACAAAGCCGACUGGUCCUCGGAGGAAAUAGAAAGCAUAAUAACAGUCAGUCACAGCACCCCCUGGUCAGCACAGCGAUUUCAUCUGAAGGGUGUUACGAAGCUGUCAAUAAGCAAAGAUCCUUAGGGAUCAUCUUCUGCAUGCCACACACAGUGCCAGACUCCAUCGGGGAAAUAAUGACCGCUCUCCUACUAAUAGCUAACACCAAUCGAGAUGGCUCCCUUCAGAAGCUCAAGGUGAGACAAAAUAUGAUAUAUGGAUCGGCCCCCCUUUGUCACAGCACUGACACUUUUGCUCUCUUUUAUCCAUGAGGAGACUCUUACAGCCACGUCACCCUGAGGCCUCCCUAGGUCCCAGGGAGCCGUUCCGCCCACCCUGCUCUCUGCAGAUGGCCCCAGCACGUCACUCUGCAUCCCCCCAGAGCCUUUCCACCUGCUGGGUUUGCCUCAUUAGCCUCAGAUGUCAGCCUCUCCUGGAUCCUGACUUGGCCGCCUCUCUGUUCUCUGUCACUUACGACCCUUAUGGCAUCUGGUGGGUGAUAUGGAAGACUUUAGUGACUUUCUCCAAGUCACAGCACCUAGACAGGACGCUAGAUGAGAUGGCUAACCCUUGUGGGCAGACACCCCCCAAACUGCCACUCCACUUCAGCAGCUGGCACGCCCACCGUAGCUCCCUCUUCCACUCCCUGUCACCCCCCCAUUAGCAGGUCUCCUCUGCUCUCUCACCACCAAGUCCACAGAAAGCUGGGCCAUGACGGGGGAAAUGGGCGAGGACCAGAGAGCGAGCACAGAGCCUUCCACCUUGGGGUGUGGUGACGGAGGGGUGUUAAGGAAAUAAGAGGGUGGUGGGAAUGAGGCCAGUGAAAAACCCACUCUGGAAAAUGUGAAGCUAACGGCCUUGAGAGCUCCUGUCUGGAGGAAGACACAACAGAAACAGUCAAGAGAUGGAGUGGUUCAGUGCUGAGCCUGCUCUCCACUUUCUGUCCCCAGUGGGCUGGGGGUCCCCAGGCUCUGACAGAAAAACCCAUCUUUGUCAUUUGGCUUCCAAGUGGAUUUAGCUCUAAGGAGACAUCUUCCUUUUAAAAUGUUCCCAAGCCAGCUCCCCUGGGACAAGGGCACAGUGAAAAGGGCACAUCUCUCUUCUAUAACCAGCCAUCGGGGAGGCGGUGACCACUCCCUGGAGAGGGGCAAGUGAUUCAUCUCAAAAGGAGCCUAAACUGAGGUUGGACACACAGACCCCGUUUCCAGGUCUCCAUGUGACACUCAGCCCUGUCUCGACCCAGGAAGGAAAUCAAAUGUAUUUCAAAGUCUUUGAGGAAACUUAAGCAAGGGCAUUUUUAAGAAGGUGCUUAAGGGGUGGACAUGCCAAUAAUUUGGACCCACUUCUCUAAGUAGAGAUCCCCAGAGGUGACCUUGUGCAAGGUUUCCUCUAAGAAAUAAGGGAACAAAACAAAAACAAAAUAAUAUUCUUUCCACCUUCUUUUCCACAUGCUAAAACACAAAACACCCUAUUAUGAAAAAUAUCAGACAGAAACAAAAGUUGACUGAGUAGCAUAAUCAACACCAGUACAUCCAGCUCCGACAGUCAGCAACUUGUGGCCAGUCUUCUUUUAUCUUUACCCUUCCUUCCCUCCCUCCUUCCUCCUUCCCAUAUUAUCUCAAAGCAGCUCUCAGCCAUCAUUUCAUUUGUAAAUAUUGCAGUAUAUCUGUCUAAAAGAUGAAGAUUCUUUUAAAAAAACACUACAUAGUUACAAUACAAUUAUGACAUCAAAAGCGAUUUAAUGUGGAAUAUUACUCAGCCUUAAAGAAGAAUGGAAUUAUGGUAUUUGCUGGUAAAUGGAUGGAGCUGGAGAAUAUCAGGCUUAGUGAAAUAAGCCAAUCCC